AUUUGUCAUUAAACUCUCAAAUAAAUAAAAAAUUUGAAAAAAUGGUGUAAAAUGAAUUUAAAAUAGAAAAACGAAAAGAAGGAACAGAAAAUAAUUCCUUAAAAUAUAUAUAAUAAACUAAAAAAGCAAUCAAUAAAAUAGUGGAAAAGCUUUGAUAUUCUCACAAGUACCGAUCGUUAACCAAUAACCAUUCAAAAAUGUCUAGAUUUCAAUUAAAAUUUUAAAAAAAAAAACACCACUCUAAAUUAUGAACAAAUCCAAUAGUUAAACAUUACAAACCUUGCUGAUAAAAAUUCAAUCAUGAAAGUCUUGUACUGAAAUUUUAGUAUAAGAAAUAAUACAAACAGGCUAUUUUGAAGCCAAGUUUCGCUUCAAUUGCGGAUAAAUAAUUUGCUUGAAAUGCUUAAAUUGACAAAAAAUGUACUUUUGCAGACUUCAUAUCCUCGGAAGGGAUCAGAAUGGCAGGGACUUCUCCAGUUGAAAGAGAGGAAAUUUCUGCAGAAUCUAGAAAUUUGAUUUUAACCAAAAUUGGGGAAUGAGUAACUUCUGAGCUGUUAGUAAAUUGACUAACUUUUGAAAAAAAUCCUUCAGAUGGAACCACAUCUGCGACGUUCUUAAAAUAGUCUAAACAGUUUAUCUCAUCCCUCUUUUUUUCUGAAACAAUACUUGAUGGCGGACAAUUAUGUCCUGUGGCUGAACCACUAUGAUUAUCAGUAUUACAGUUAAAUAAGCUAUUGAGCAUAUGCCCAGGAGAAUGUUUUAAAACCUGAUGGUUUUGAAGCUUGUUAUUUAAUACUCCUCCAAGAAAAUCAUCGCCAAAACUCAAAUCUGAGAUGUUAGAAACCAAAGAAUUUGAGCUAUCCUCCAUCCGUUUCAAGGAACAAAAUGAAGAUAAGUCUGUUUCAUUUGAUCUUAAGUCCAGAAGCUGCUUUUCAGAGUCGUCAUCUUGGAACCUAUUUUUAAUAAUACUGGCAGAAGAUAAUCCAGGAUCCUUAUCAAGACCAACAAGGCCAAAAAUGUUGUCUUGAGACGUAUUCAAUUGAUCACUCUUAGAGUUAGAGUCCCAACUUCUUAAGUUAUUAAGAGAUGAAGAACCCCUAAUACACGGAACAUUUGUAAUAUCGCUAUUUUGAUUAUCAUGGAAAGAAUUAAACUGGGGUGGAAGAGGUUGAGGUUGAGGAUGUGAAUGGUUUUGUAAGUUAGGAUGAGAUUGAGAAUUUGAAAAGCAUUCACCUUUUCUGAAAAUAUCAUCACAGCUGUAAUUCCGCUUCAUUCUGUGAUCUCCCUCACCUUCUUGGUCAAUAUAUCUCAAAAUUGGCGGUAAAGUUUUUGCUUGUAUUGAUUGAGUAUUAAAUCCCAAUCCUGUUCUAGAAUUUGAAUGAAGAUUUGAAUGUGAGUGUGAUUGUCUCAUUUUUCCUAGUGAAGAGACUGGUUGUCCUGAGCUUGAGUAUACUAAAGGAGGGGGAGGAGGGACUUGAAAUAGAAAUCGGCUAUUUUCAUUAAAUUUGUUGCUCCUUAGUGGCAGAAUUAGAUCAUCUUCUCGUAUUGAAGGCGGAAGUUGAUCAUCUUUUCGUCUAAG
rnacentral:antisense_RNA from 1 species